GUAGCCUUUGUUUGUGUUGUUGCUGCUGUCAUCAUCACUGCCAGGCGUAAACAAAAAAAUCCCAACAGUCUGUCACACAGGGAGCUGGAUGAGAUGUCUCCGACUGCAAUCAAUAAUACUAAUAAGGACUCUGAGGAGAACAAGAAGAACAACACAAGCAUCCAAGAACCUGAUGAGGUCCGUACGUGUGUAGUCACGCAGGAUAACAAUCAGAUCAGAAAACGGACACCUCCUGAGAAAAGUCCGACAAGUGACAAGCCGGAGCCGUCACCUUCAACAGCAAGAAGACUUGAUUUUGACUCAGACACUCAGACAAAAACCAAAAAAACGUGAGAGAGUGUUUCCAAAAAAAAUAAGUUUUAUAUUUUGUAUACCGUUCCAUGUUUAUAGGAUCUUUUUAAUAGCAUUUCAUUAUCAUUUUUAUGUUUUCACAUUGUUUGUAUAUUGUUCCUUUAUUUAAGGAAUGUUAAACAAAUGAAAAAUUUGAUGCAAAAAAGUCACUUAAAAUCUUUGCACUGAUCUAAGCUAAAAAUAAGUGUAUAAAAGGCUCUCUAUAUCAGCGGUGAUCAUAGAGUGCACGUCGGAGAAUAGCGCAAAACCUGUUUCUUCCUGACCCCCCCAACACCCCCACUGGCACUGACUCUUAUCCUGAUCCACAUCUGACGUCAGGCGAUACACCAACGCAAUGAACUUUAUACUUAUUUAUUAACUCUAUUAAUCUGUGGCUAUUGAGGUUUACCACUAUAUCUAAUUAUCUAAUUUUAGAUAACAUGUUUUUAUUUCCCAUUCACAAUUUUUUACU